CCUACGGGGUGCUGCAGUGGGGAAUAUUGCGCAAUGGGCGCAAGCCUGACGCAGCGACGCCGCGUGAGGGAUGAAGGUCUUCGGAUCGUAAACCUCUGUCAGCAGGGAAGAACGGUCCCUGUGCUAAUCAGCAGUGAAUUGACGGUACCUGCAAAGGCAGCACCGGCUAACUCCGUGCCAGCAGCCGCGGUAAUACGGAGGGUGCGAGCGUUAAUCGGAAUUACUGGGCGGAAAGCGCUCGUAGGCGGUAGGUCAAGUCAAGGGUGAAAUCCCCGCGCUCAACGUGGGAACUGCCUUUGAAACGGGCAAACUGGAGUGUGUGAGAGGAUAGUGGAAUUCCAGGUGUAGGAGUGAAAUCCGUAGAGAUCGGGAGGAACAUCAGUGGCGAAGGCGACUAGCUGGAACAUAACUGACGCUGAGGAGCGAAAGCGUGGGUAGCAAACAGGAUUAGAUACCCGGGUAGUC
rnacentral:rRNA from 1 species